rnacentral:rRNA from 1 species
UGGUGGGUCAACAGAGGGAGGCAAUACCGCGAGGUGGAGCAAAUCCCUAAAAGCCAUCCCAGUUCGGAUUGCAGGCUGCAACCCGCCUGUAUGAAGUUGGAAUCGCUAGUAAUCGCGGAUCAGCAUGCCGCGGUGAAUACGUUCCCGGGCCUUGUACACACCGCCCGUCACACCAUGAGAGUCGGGAACACCCGAAGUCCGUAGUCUAACCGCAAGGGGGGCGCGGCCGAAGGUGGGUCCGGUAAUUGGGGUGAAGUCGUAACAAGGUAUC